rnacentral:tRNA from 1 species
GCCGGAAUAGCUCAGUUGGUAGAGCAGUAGUUUUGUAAACUACGGGUCACGGGUUCGAGUCCUGUUUCCGGCUCCA